UACAGAGGUGGCAAGCGUUGUUCGGAAUUACUGGGCGUAAAGGGCGCGUAGGUGGCCUUCUUAGUCAGACGUGAAAUCCCCGGGCUUAACUCGGGAACUGCGUCUGAUACUGGAAGGCUGGAGUUCGGGAGAGGAAUGUGGAAUUCCAGGUGUAGCGGUGAAAUGCGCAGAUAUCGGGAGGAACACCAGUAGCGAAGGCGGCUCGCUGGGCCACACCUGACGCUGAGACGCGAAAGCUAGGGGAGCGAAC
rnacentral:rRNA from 1 species